AAUUAAAAAUUUUGUCCAUUUGUGUUAUUAAGAAUUGGCAUAAUUGAUAGAAUAAUCAAAUAAUGGCAUCCGUACCUCACUGGCAUAUAAGAACCAAUUUUUAACAAUAUAAAUGGAUGAGAUUUUUAAUA
rfam:Gossypium hirsutum cultivar TM-1 unplaced genomic scaffold scaffold26.1, whole genome shotgun sequence